rnacentral:sRNA from 1 species
UGAAUGGCCCCGGUUGAACUGCCUGACCCCCGACCCGGCAGUUCAACCGGGCCGUUCC